rnacentral:rRNA from 1 species
GAUGAACGCUAGCGGCAGGCCUAAUACAUGCAAGUCGAACGCUCAGUAGCAAUACUGGGAGUGGCGCACGGGUGCGUAACGCGUACACGAAUCUACCUCUAAGCGGGGGGACACCUCCUGGAAACGGGGAUUAAUACCGCAUAAUAUGCCGAAGUCGCAUGACUUUGGUAUUAAAGCAGCAAUGCACUUAGAGAUGAGUGUGCGUCCCAUUAGGUAGUUGGUGAGGUAACGGCUCACCAAGCCUAUGAUGGGUAGCCGGUCUGAGAGGAUGGUCGGCCACACGGGCACUGAGACACGGGCCCGACUCCUACGGGAGGCAGCAGUAAGGAAUAUUGGACAAUGGGGGCAACCCUGAUCCAGCCAUGCCGCGUGAGUGAAGAAGGCCCUCGGGUUGUAAAGCUCUUUUGUCCGGAAAGAAAAGCAAUCGGUUAAUACCCGGUUGUCCUGACGGUACCGGAAGAAUAAGCACCGGCUAACUUCGUGCCAGCAG